rnacentral:rRNA from 1 species
GACGAACGCUGGCGGCGUGCUUAACACAUGCAAGUCGAACGGAAAGGCCCUGCUUUUGUGGGGUGCUCGAGUGGCGAACGGGUGAGUAACACGUGAGUAACCUGCCCUUGACUUUGGGAUAACUUCAGGAAACUGGGGCUAAUACCGGAUAGGAGCUCCUGCUGCAUGGUGGGGGUUGGAAAGUUUCGGCGGUUGGGGAUGGACUCGCGGCUUAUCAGCUUGUUGGUGGGGUAGUGGCUUACCAAGGCUUUGACGGGUAGCCGGCCUGAGAGGGUGACCGGCCACAUUGGGACUGAGAUACGGGCCAGACUCUUACGGGAGGCAGAAGUGGGGAAUAUUGCACAAUGGGCGGAAGCCUGAUGCAGCACAGCGGCGUGCGGGAUGACGGCCUUCGGGUUGUAAACAGCUUUCGCCUGUGACGAAGAGUGAGUGACGGUAAUGGGUAAAGAAGCACAGGCUAAAUACGUG